UCCCCGUGCAGUUCUAAGUGAGGGAGCGACGGAAAGGCUGGUGCCAUGAACCGUGGUAGACGUGGAAAGCCACACUCCAGAAGACCCAGCUGACCAAUUCCCUUUUGUCUGGCGAGCAUUAAAGUCACCCAGCACAGCACGUUGUUCUGCUUAAAGAGGGAAAAAUGCUCAUUAAAAAAAAAAAAGAAACGAAAUCAAAGGACUUUAGCCACCUCAUGGUAUAAUAGGAUCUUUUUUUCUACCCUGAUCGUGGGAGAGAAAAAACCUAAUCUAAAAUUUCAGCUGCACACGUUGAUUAGCCAGAAUUCCGCCUGAAGUUCUGGAGGCAACAGACGGGAAUCCUCUGGCUGUAUGGAUGCAAAAAUGGAGCAUGAGUUGAUAUGACAGCCAGGAAUUUAGCUCAAGGAGACUGCUCAGUCUGAGGACAGGCUUGGUUAGUUUUGUGGGGGGAAGCACUCCUAGUGCUAGGACCUGACCCGGCUCCAUCUCAGACCUCGCUGUGGCAUAAGGAGCCCACCAAAGAGCUUCUCCUCCCCCGAACUGUGGGACAUUUUAACUCAGCUCCUACUUACCCAGAGCCAGUCACCUGGAGACACUUGGGCAGACCGGUCAGAUAGCGCCAGACACACAAAACGGAGGAGCAGGGGGGAUACCGGAGCAGAGAACAGGGGUUAAUUUUAAAUAUGCAUCAGAUCGCCCGUCCUAUUCCCAUACCUGGCUCUCGCCCGCUUGUGGUGCACGGGGACGCCAAUCGCUCCGCUCUCUACCUUAGGUUUUGCACGUGGGUGAAAAGUGCUCUGCGGUGUGUGUGAGUGUGAGAAUCAGAAUCAGGCCAGGGCCGGAGUGAUGCAGCCAGCCAACCACCAUGGCAAAACACAAAUAAACAUUCGCACGCGAGCACACACACACACACGAUGGGACUGAACAGAUUCCCUCAGCGAGGUUGCAAAAGGUGACUUUGGAGGACAUCUCCCCAGUGAGAUGCAAUUAGAUGCAACAGGGAGCUGGUACCGGGUUAGCGGUUGGCACAGGGGAACCAGGAUGAAUCUCCCCCCACCUCUUUUGAUAAAGUUCACACAGACCCCUGGCCUCUUUUCAGCUGCUUCGAAAGGGGCAACGAUCUGGCCCAGCAAACCUGCUCUGGAAGGAACUGGGACCGGGUGGGGUUUGUUCGGGGGUUCUUUACGUCGAGUUUACACUGGGUUUCUUUACCGCCUUCACUCCUGCAGCUGGUGCCCCCUCACAAUCGACAUGUGUCACCUGCUUGGGAACAGGAUGGUUCCCCUCGGGGCCCGAUCCUACUUCUCGGGCCCUAUAGCAAAAACUCCCCUUUUCUCUGACUAAGGGAAGGAGAGAAAGUUGGUGUUUUGGGAGAAACGAAAAUUAAGCUGCGAAAUCGCUGUAUUUAUUUUUUAAAAAAUUUUCCUCAAUCGUUAGUUUAUAGGAAAAAAAAGCAGUUUCUCCUUUGGUAUCUGAA